CAGGAUGAACGCUGGCGGUCUGCUUAACACAUGCAAGUCGAACGAAUCCCUUCGGGGAUUAGUGGCGGACGGGUGAGUAGCGCGUGAGAAUCUGCCUUCAGGUUCGGGACAACCACUGGAAACGGUGGCUAAUACCGAAUGUGCCGCAACGUGAAAGAUUUAUCGCCUGAAGAUGAGCUCGCGUCCGAUUAGCUAGUUGGUGAGGUAAAAGCUCACCAAGGCGACGAUCGGUAGCUGGUCUGAGAGGAUGACCAGCCACACUGGGACUGAGACACGGCCCAGACUCCUACGGGAGGCAGCAGUGGGGAAUUUUCCGCAAUGGGCGCAAGCCUGACGGAGCAAGACCGCGUGAGGGAGGAAGGCCCAAGCGGUUGUAAACCUCUUUUCUCAGGGAAGAAGAAAGUGACGGUACCUGAGGAAUCAGCCUCGGCUAACUCCGUGCCAGCAGCCGCGGUAAUACGGAGGAGGCAAGCGUUAUCCCGGAAUUAUUGGGCGUAAAGCGUCCGUAGGUGGUUAUGUAAGUCUGCUGUCAAAGCACAGGGCUUAACCCUGUAAAGGCAGUGGAAACUACAAGACUCGAGUGCGGUAGGGGCAGAGG
rnacentral:rRNA from 1 species